rnacentral:rRNA from 1 species
GUGAGGAAUAUUGGUCAAUGGGCGAGAGCCUGAACCAGCCAAGUCGCGUGAAGGAAGACGGCCCUACGGGUUGUAAACUUCUUUUGCAAUGGAAUAAAAAGAGUUACGUGUAAUUCAUUGUAUGUACAUUGCGAAUAAGGAUCGGCUAACUCCGUGCCAGCAGCCGCGGUAAUACGGAGGAUCCGAGCGUUGUCCGGAUUUAUUGGGUUUAAAGGGUGCGUAGGCGGAUUGGAAAGUCAGCGGUGAAAGUUUGCAGCUUAACUGUAAAAUUGCCAUUGAAACUGUCAGUCUUGAGUGCAAAUGAGGUAGGCGGAAUGUGUUGUGUAGCGGUGAAAUGCAUAGAUAUAACACAGAGCACCAAUUGCGAAGGCAGCUUACUGGGAUGCAACUGACGCUGAGGCACGAAAGCGUGGGGAUCAAACAGGAUUAGAAACCCUAGUAGUCC